UACGUAGGUGGCAAGCGUUGUCCGGAAUUAUUGGGCGUAAAGCGCGCGCAGGCGGUCCUUUAAGUCUGAUGUGAAAGCCCACGGCUCAACCGUGGAGGGUCAUUGGAAACUGGGGGACUUGAGUACAGAAGAGAAGAGUGGAAUUCCACGUGUAGCGGUGAAAUGCGUAGAGAUGUGGAGGAACACCAGUGGCGAAGGCGACUCUUUGGUCUGUAACUGACGCUGAGGCGCGAAGGCUAGGGGAGCGAACUGG
rnacentral:rRNA from 1 species